rnacentral:rRNA from 1 species
CCGUGUACGUACAAGCAGUGGGAGCCCCACCACUAAGCCAGUGGUGAACUCCACAUACGCAUCCUUUGCUGAGGAUACGGUUAACGGAGCGAAAGCGACGUUCAACCGCAAAAGAAGCAGAGGGGGCUUAGUGGUGGGGUGACUGCGUACCUUUUGUAUAAUGGGUCAGCGACUUAUAUUCUGUAGCAAGGUUAACCGAAUAGGGGAGCCGGAGGGAAACCGAGUCUUAACCGGGCGUUAAGUUGCAGGGUAUAGACCCGAAACCCGGUGAUCUAGCCAUGGGCAGGUUGAAGGUUGGGUAACACUAACUGGAGGACCGAACCGACUAAUGUUGAAAAAUUAGCGGAUGACCUGUGGCUGGGGGUGAAAGGCCAAUCAAACCGGGAGAUAGCUGGUUCUCCCCGAAAGCUAUUUAGGUAGCGCCUCGUGAAUUCAUCUCCGGGGGUAGAGCACUGUUUCGGCUAGGGGGCCAUCCCGGCUUACCAACCCGAUGCAAACUGCGAAUACCGGAGAAUGUUAUCACGGGAGACACACGGCGGGUGCUAACGUCCGUCGUGAAGAGGGAAACAACCCAGACCGCCAGCUAAGGUCCCAAAGUCAUGGUUAAGUGGGAAACGAUGUGGGAAGGCCCAGACAGCCAGGAUGUUGGCUUAGAAGCAGCCAUCAUUUAAAGAAAGCGUAAUAGCUCACUGGUCGAGUCGGCCUGCGCGGAAGAUGUAACGGGGCUAAACCAUGCACCGAAGCUGCGGCAGCGAACGUAUCACUUAAAGCGAUUCAGCGGGUUACGAUUGACGGAGCGAAGCGACGUCAAAGCGUAUACAAAGUCGAGUCGGUUUAAGGAUACGUUCGUUGGGUAGGGGAGCGUUCUGUAAGCCUGUGAAGGUGGCCUGUGAGGGUUGCUGGAGGUAUCAGAAGUGCGAAUG